GGCAGGAUAGUUUAAGUUUAAAAAAAAUUUCUAUUUUACACGUAGGGGAUAAACUGUUUGGUUUUGCUGCUA
rnacentral:tRNA from 1 species